rnacentral:rRNA from 1 species
CCUACGGGUGGCUGCAGUGAGGAAUAUUGGUCAAUGGGCGUAAGCCUGAACCAGCCAAGUCGCGUGAGGGAUGAAGGUUCUAUGGAUCGUAAACCUCUUUUAUAAGGGAAUAAAGUGCGGGACGUGUCCCGUUUUGUAUGUACCUUAUGAAUAAGGAUCGGCUAACUCCGUGCCAGCAGCCGCGGUAAUACGGAGGAUCCGAGCGUUAUCCGGAUUUAUUGGGUUUAAAGGGUGCGCAGGCGGAAUGUCAAGUCAGCGGUAAAAUUUCGGGGCUCAACCCCGUCGUGCCGUUGAAACUGGCGUUGUUGAGUGAGCGAGAAGUAUGCGGAAUGCGGGGUGUAGCGGUGAAAUGCAUAGAUAUCACGCAGAACUCCGAUUGCGAAGGCAGCAUACCGGCGCUCAACUGACGCUCAUGCACGAAAGCGUGGGUAUCGAACAGGAUUAGAUACCCUAGUAGUC